UACGUAGGGUGCGAGCGUUAAUCGGAAUUACUGGGCGUAAAGCGUGCGCAGGCGGUUUUGUAAACCAGAUGUGAAAUCCCCGGGCUUAACCUGGGAAUGGCAUUUGGGACUGCAAGGCUUGAGUGCGGCAGAGGAGACUGGAAUUCCUGGUGUAGCAGUGAAAUGCGUAGAUAUCAGGAGGAACACCGAUGGCGAAGGCAGGUCUCUGGGCUGACACUGACGCUCAUGCACGAAAGCGUGGGGAGCAAACAGG
rnacentral:rRNA from 1 species